UCACAAAACCAUCAGACCCCUCUCUCUCUCUCUCGCGACUCAAGAAAACCAUGGCAGAUCUAUCACCAGACCCGUUUCAUGAGCAGAUCUGUGAGGAUUCAACCGCCUAUCCCCUCCUUGUUACGCUGCCUGAAUCGCGGCUUCUCCUUCAUUCCAGUAUGCAGGAUCAGCUUGGGACGAGCUCAAGCACAUAAGACAAGCUAUUGGGGUUCCUGGUUAUUUAUCAGAAGCCAAAGAAGACACUGGAUGAAAUAACUCACCAUUUGUGCCCAAUUCUUAGCAUACAACAGCUCUACAGAAUUGGGAUGACAAAUACGACACACAUAGUCUUUCUCCAGAUGUAAUUUCCAACAUGAGGGUGCUGAUGACUGAAUAUUCAAACAAUGCUGUCAGCAGCUCAUUUUUGCUGGAUGAUGAUUCAAGCAUACCAUUCUCUGUUGAUGACCUCUCCAAAUCAAUGCAUCAGAUCAAUAUAGCAGAUAUUGAGCCGCCACCACUUGUUCGUGAUAAUUCAGGUUUCAUUUUCUUAUUGUCACGUGCUGAAUCAUGAUCAUUCGGGUUUCAGUUCACUUAUAUGGAAGUUGACCUUUGAUGGUAGGUUUGAUUUUACCAACAUGCGUAGUGGUUUAGAUUAAAUUGUGUAAACAUCAUUCUUUCGAUAAUGCGGCAAAUGUGUUUUAACUAAGGUGUUGCCAGGUUCCAAGUUUGAUUACUGUUUGGAGUUGCUAUGUGUUGGAUGAUGCUUCUGAAACUCGAAGGUGGAGAUUGUUAUAUUGAGUUUUAGAAGUCUAGGGUGUUAAGAGUAAUAAUUGUGUUUGUUUUGUUGAAGUUGUUGAUAUUGGUUCUAUAUAUGAUUCAAUCAGGUUAAAUAAAUAUAUAGGCAAUCAGUAAAAGCUGAAUAACAGUCUAAAACAACCUAUAGCAUGUUUAAAAUAGCAAUAAUUUAUACUGUGUGUCUUGCUUAUCUCGGGCCCUUGAUUGGGUGUGCAUAUAGUAUUUGACUAUCCAUUUUUGAUGCACUUUAAUUUUGAAGAUGGUGAUAACAAUGUCAUUAUGCAUAUUUUGGGCAUAAUAUGUAGUAAAUUCUCUUAUUAAAUUAUCAACCUUUUUUUGUUUUUUUUAUUUGGUUUUAAGGAGACUGGAUUUGGUAUUUUUAUUGUCUGAAUCAUUCAGUGCAAUUUCCUUCUGCCGAACCUUGUUUAGAAUUAGUUACUGGAUAGACAAAGUAGAAAAGAUUUAGUUUUUUGUUGUUUGUGAUUAAAUUUUAUGAGGCUGGGUUCUGUUUAUUUUAUUUUCUAACAUUUGUUGCUUGUUACUUAAGUCACAGUUUGUGUCCAAAUGUUUUGGUUCAGCUGGUGUUGUAUGAUCAUUGUAAUUAUGGGUUCCCUCAUCUUAUGUUGUUUGCUAUGGAGAAUAUUCCUCCUAUGAGGAAACUUAGUCUUGAUUAUGGUGAUGCCGGUGAAUGGACCGGGAAAUUAGCUAUAUGUAACUAAAUCUACUUUGGCUCGUGGAUUUUAAACCUGAAUGAAGAUUCAGGGAUGCAUGAUGCAGAGGUAACUAACUGGUUUUUGUUUGAUGUGCUAUGCAUAGAGCUGGGUUAAU